rnacentral:rRNA from 1 species
CCAGCAGCCGCGGUAAUUCCAGCUCCAAUAGCGUAUAUUAAAGUUGUUGCAGUUAAAAAGCUCGUAGUUGGAUUUCUGGAAGGGUGCCGAUGUCCUCUUAACGUGUGUGCAGCGGCGCCCUUUCAUCCUUCUGUUAGCGUCUCUUGGCCUUCACUGGCUGGUGGCGGGCUCAGAUAUUUUACCUUGAGAAAAUUAGAGUGUUUCAGGCAGGCUAGGCCGGAAUACAUUAGCAUGGAAUAAUGGAAUAGGACUACGGUCUCUUUGUUGGUUUGAGGGACUGCAGUAAUGAUUAAUAGGGAUAGUUGGGGGCAUUAGUACUUAACUGUCAGAGGUGGAAUUCUCAGAUUUGUUAAAGACUGACUUAUGCGAAAGCAUUUGCCAAGGAUGUUUUCAUUAAUCAAG